UACGGGGGGGAGCAAGCGUUUGUUCGGAUUUACUGGGCGUAAAGGGCGCGUAGGCGCCUCUGCAAGUCGACUGUGAAAUCUCCGGGCUUAACCCGGAACGGUCAGCCGAUACUGCAGGGCUAGAGUGCAGAAGGGGCAACCGGAAUUCUCGGUGUAGCGGUGAAAUGCGUUGAGAUCGUGAGGAACGCCCGUGGCGAAAGCGGGCGCCUGGACCCCACCUGACGCUGAGACGCGAAAGCCAGGGGAGCGAACGGG
rnacentral:rRNA from 1 species